rnacentral:rRNA from 1 species
UACGUAGGGAGCAAGCGUUGUCCGGAAUCAUUGGGCGUAAAGCGCGCGUAGGUGGCUUCGUAAGUCCGUUGUGAAAGUCAAAGGCUCAACCUUUGAAAGCCGAUGGAUACUGUGAAGCUAGAGUACGGAAGAGGCGAGUGGAAUUCCUGGUGUAGCGGUGGAAUGCGCAGAUAUCAGGAGGAACACCAACGGCGAAGGCAGCUCGCUGGGACGGUACUGACACUGAGGCGCGAAAGCGUGGGGAGCGAACAGG